rnacentral:misc_RNA from 1 species
AAAAACAGUCGGGAAAUUUGUUUGAAGAGGCAGUACAGGUGAAGUCCGAUAUACCAAAACGAUCGUAUAUACCAAGAGCCUUUUGAUCCAUUGGAAAAAAUGAAGUGAAAGUGUUUUCAAUAACUGGAAUUGAACGACUAUGGGAUGCUGGGAUCAGAAUACGUCCAAUAUUGAUUUAAAGGAUAUACAGGAGACCUCUAUUCCAGCCUACGGUUUCUUCGCUUUUGGAGUGUUAGGAAAUGUACUUGCUCUCUGCACAAUUUGCCUGAACCGCCAGCAACACCAAUGGCGCUCCUUCUACAUAUUUUUCUUGGGUUUGGCGAUGUCCGAUUGUCUAAACCAAGCGUUGGUGUUCCCUUUUGAGGUGUUAAGAUAUGAAUCUGAUUUUACUUACAGAAUUUCAGAUGACGAAUGCCAUUUCAUUUCAUUCUCUUACGCCUUUACCCAAAUUUCCUCCGGUCUCAUAAUAGCUGGAAUCACAACAGAUCAGCACAUGUCACUCAUCAUGGGCCGUCAACUGGAUACAAUGGUUGGAAAUCGCCGAAUCUAUGUCUUUGCUCUCUUCGCCAUGUGGGCUGUCGCAGCACUUGUGUCGUCUAUUCAUUUAAUCUUUGGAGAGAGUGAAAUAUUUUAUCCGGGAUCUUGGUGCUUCAUUGGCGUAUCAAGCGAAGAUUUUGGAAGCAGCGCCAGUGCUCUAGUGUAUUCACUCACUGGAAUCUUAACUCUUAUUUACACCGUGUCUUUACAUUUAUACAUCAUGUGUAGGUCACACAGAGACCCAGAGCUCUGCGGCCAUCUUGUGGACACCGACAGAAUCACGGGAUAUUACGAUAUCCACGUCAACAUUUUCUUGAUGACGUCAGUGACUUUUUAUGUUUUGUGUUGGGGACCAUUUCUGGUAAGUAUUUCGUAAUAUAUGCAUCAUUUUGUAAAUUAACGAUUUACAUCAUCUUAUACACGUAUAAUCUCUUAGUAAUGAAAAAAUAUAUAAUCGAAAUCGAAAAGUGCCAUUUAAAAAAUAUUACAGCAACAAUAUAUUAGCUCGGUCAGAAAAAAAGAAAAAAAAAAGCUUUGACCUGUUUUAUUGAUGGAUUAGAAACAAAUAUUUCGUCCUAAACUGGGACAAGAAAAAAGUUGCACUUGAAUCAAAUAAUUAUACAGAUCCUUUAAAAAAAACUUUUAACUUCCGCCUUAGGUGGACAUUUUGUUACGAUCAGUCAACGUUGUCUCUAGCUGCACAGGAAGACUAGAACUGUGGCUAGUCAGGCUUGUUGACUUCAAGUCCAACCUCAACCCGUGGCUCUAUGUGAUACUACGAAAGGAGAAUCUGAGGAGAAUCGUCCGGAAGUUCAGAUCUUGCCGUGCUGGAAACAUUCAGGACGGGGAAGGUGAUGGGGAGAACGACCGACUUGUCAGUGACACACAUAUGUGAAAGUUCUAGAAAUUGGGCAACAUAGUCACCUGUACCCCAAACAUUCCAACAAAUCAAUCGUGGGAAGCAAAAUGAGAUUUAUUCUUUGUUGGACAACUAGACUACAGACAACUAAUCAUCGGUUAGAAACCGUCAUUCAAUCCAAAGUACAAAUAACUUUUUUUAGCAACUGAUGCACUAAAAACCGUCCAGCAAUGCAUGGACAUAAGUUACCAUAUUAUAUCGGAAAGUUUACGAAAAACCAAAAUAGGAUGCAAAGAACGUUUGUGAAAAGCCCAAAGUUAUGGAGUUUAUGGAUUUUUAUUAGUGAAAUUACGAUCAAUUGUUUGAACUAUAAUAUUAAACACUUAUUCUCUAAGUUC